rnacentral:rRNA from 1 species
AGUGAACGCUGGCGGUAGGCCUAACACAUGCAAGUCGAACGGCAGCACAGUAAGAGCUUGCUCUUACGGGUGGCGAGUGGCGGACGGGUGAGGAAUACAUCGGAAUCUACUUUUUCGUGGGGGAUAACGUAGGGAAACUUACGCUAAUACCGCAUACGACCUACCGGUGAAAGCAGGGGAUCUUCGGACCUUGCGCGAUUGAAUGAGCCGAUGUCGGAUUAGCUAGUUGGCGGGGUAAAGGCCCACCAAGCCGACGAUCCGUUGCUGGUCUGAGAGGAUGAUCGGCCACACUGGACCUGAGACACGGUCCAGAGGUAUACGGGAGGAAGCAGUGGGGAAUAUUGUACAAUGGUCGCAAGCCUGAUCCAGCCAGACCGCGUGGGUGAAGAAGGCCUUCGGGUUGUAAAGCCCUUUUGUUGGGAAAGAAAAGCAGCAGGUUAAUACCCCGCUGUUCUGACGGUACCCAAAGAAUAAGCACCGGCUAACUUCGUG